rnacentral:rRNA from 1 species
UACAGAGGUCUCAAGCGUUGUUCGGAUUCAUUGGGCGUAAAGGGUGCGUAGGUGGCGUGGUAAGUCGGGUGUGAAAUUUCGGAGCUUAACUCCGAAACUGCAUUCGAUACUGCCGUGCUUGAGGACUGGGAGGAGACUGGAAUUUACGGUGUAGCAGUGAAAUGCGUAGAGAUCGUAAGGAAGACCAGUGGCGAAGGCGGGUCUCUGGACAGUGCCUGACACUGAGGCACGAAGGCCAGGGGAGCAAACGGG